GUGCUCACUUCGGCAGCACCUAUACUAAAACUGAACCGAUACAGAGAAGAUUAGCGUGGCCCCUGUGCAAGGAUGACAUGCAAAUUUGUGAAGCAUUCCUUAUUUUU
rnacentral:snRNA from 1 species